rnacentral:rRNA from 1 species
UACAGAGGUCUCGAGCGUUGUUCGGAUUCAUUGGGCGUAAAGGGCGCGUAGGCGGCCUGCUAAGUCGAACGUGAAAUCCCUGGGCUCAACCCAGGAACUGCGUCCGAUACUGGUUGGCUUGAAUCCGGGAGAGGGACGUGGAAUUCCAGGUGUAGCGGUGAAAUGCGUAGAUAUCUGGAGGAACACCGGUGGCGAAGGCGACGUCCUGGACCGGCAUUGACGCUGAGGCGCGAAAGCCAGGGGACGCAAACGGG